rnacentral:tRNA from 1 species
UGGCUGAGCGGUAAAGCGCUUGGCUUCUGAACAAGGACUCCCGGGUUCGAAUCCUAG